rnacentral:lncRNA from 1 species
UGACUCUCUUCUCCAGCUUCGUGACCUCCAGCAGGUACGUUUUCUCCCUUCUUCUUCAGUUCUUCUGUCUCCUCUGCUUCGUGACCUUUAGCAGCUACAUUUUUAGCAAUUGUUUUCUUCUUCUUUAAUGUGCAGUCAGCAGUGUGCACAGUCUUUGUUUUUUUUUUGCUCUGUUAUUUAAUUUCUGCAGACUAUUGCAAUAUGGCUAUUGUUUUCUUUAAGAAAAUAUUCUAGUCCUUCGAUAUUUAUUUCUUCCCAACUCAAUUUAGUUUUAUAGUAAUUAUACGGUUAGUUUUGACUUAAUGUUUGCUAAUAUGUUAUUGCUAUUUGAAAUUUUGAAUAUCUAUAUAUUCAAAUAUUUUGGAUAUCUAUGUAUUCAAAGGACGGGUGCCUCGUCGAGCCUUGUCGCCUUUCGCCGUCCAAAACACUACUAUCAAUACCUAUAUACCUAUUCCAUUUAUUUGGGUGGGGACGUAUGGGGAGGGGAGAGAGUGGACUGAGAAUGAGGUAACUGGGUAUCUUUCUAUCAGAUCAUCAAAUCUUCGUAUCCUUCUUGUUGAAUUUUUUUGUUUUUUUACCGAUUAGGUUCUCUUCCAUAUUGAAUCUAGGAAACCUCUUUACUCUGUUAUAUUUAGUCUGAAUGAUGAAUACUUAGCAAGUAGGUCAUUGGAUAAAUGUAUGAAUAUAUGGUUAAUGAAGGAGGCCAAGAUUAUAAAAACUUACAAUGGUGAUGGCGGUAUUUUUGAAGUGUGUUGGAGAAAGGAAGGGAACAAUCUCUUCCAUUUUGAAUCCAGGAAACUUGUUUACUUUGUUGCAUUCAGUCCAAACAGUGAAUACUUGGUAAGUGGGUCAUUGGAUAAAUGCAUGAAUAUAUGAUCAGUGAAGGAGGCCAAGAUUGUAAAACUUAUAAUGGUGAUGCCAAUAUUUCAAAGUGUAUUGGAACAAGGAAGGCAACAAUGUGGCACCUUCUUUUGCAAACAACAAGGUUUGUGUGUUUGAUAUUCGAUUGUGGAGGUUGAGGAAUAACUUUAAAAGGACUUAGGAACACUAAGGCACGGAUUUCACAAUUCCAGAAACUCUGCCUUGCAGAAACGCAUAUUGUAGAUAAGUUUUUUUUAAUUUGUCACUCGAUGUUCAGUUUACCCACGUUGGGGCCGACUAUAUCAUUAUGACUUUGAUUUAAACUUAGGGUUGUGGUACCCUAAUGAUUUAGUAGCCCCAAUAUGGGUAAACCGGACACCGAGUGACAAAUCAAAAAAGCUUAUCUACAAUCUGCAUUUCUGCACGAGAGAGUUUCUUGAAUUGUGAAAUUCCUGCCUCCUCUGUGUUGCCAAGUACUUUUAAAGCUAUUUCUCAACCUCUACAAUCAAAUAUCAAACACACAAACCUUGUUGUUUGCAAAAGAAGGUGCCACAUUGUUGCCUUCCUUGUUCCAAUACACUUUGAAAUAUUGGCAUCACCAUUAUAAGUUUUACAAUCUUGGCCUCCUUCACUGAUCAUAUAUUCAUGCAUUUAUCCAAUGACCCACUUACCAAGUAUUCACUGUUUGGACUGAAUGCAACAAAGUAAACAAGUUUCCUGGAUUCAAAAUGGAAGAGAACCUACUCAGUAAAAAAAUAAAUAUUCAAAAUAGAAGAUAGUUCUUAUUAGUUGAAGGGAAAUGGUCUUUUUGUGGAGCUUUGGACUCAACUCUUGUUCAGAGUUUGUUGAGUUAUACUUUGUAAAUCGGUUGUUGUGUUUUAUAGAGGAAAAGUGAAGAAUACUACAGUUGGACCAAUUUAAUGGUAAACAUUUCAAGAGAUGGAGGAGUAAAAUACUUUUCUACUUAUAUCUACUCAAUGUUUCUUAUGUGCUAACUAAGAAGAAUCCUAGUAAAGUUGACAACACCUCUAUGAAUGAUGAUGAACUUAUUUCUCAUCUAGAGAAGUGGAAAAGUACGAUGGUGAUUCCUACAAGUGUCGGUAUUACAUUCUUACUUGUCUAUUAUAUUUGAUAACUUUUAUGAUUAUUAUAAUUGAACUUACUCUAAUGCAAAGAAAAUUUGGAGAAUAUUGCAUAGUAAGUAUGAUACUGAAGAAGCUGGAGCGAAAAAAUAUGUAGCUAGUAGAUUUUUUCAUUUUCAAAUAGUGGACAACAAAUCAAUGGUUGACCAAGCUCAAGACUUUAUGAUGAUUGUUGAAGAGCUCCGGUCCGAGGAGAUCAAAAUUGGAGAUAACCUUAUUGUUUGUGGCAUAAUAGAUAAACGUCCACCUUCUUGGAAGGAAUUUCAAAAACCUAUGCGCCACAAACAAAAGAAAACCUCUCAUGAGUAAUUGAUAAUGUGAAUCUUCAUGGAAGAGGAGGCAAGGGGCCAAGAUACACUUUUACAAUUAGAAGAGAGUAAUAUUACAAUGAGGUAAAUUUAAUAAGUUCAAAUAACUCUACUCCUAAAUCUCACAAAAAUACUUCUAUAAAGCCUAAGAAGAAAAAUUUCAAGAAAAACAAUCGCCGAUCUCUUAAAAAGAAAAAUAAUGGUACAAAUAACCAAGAACAAAAUCAACAAGUUCAAGACAAGGGACCGUGCAUUGUCUACGAUAAGUUGAUUCUGGUGAAAACUGUCAUGUCUGUCAUGACGUCAGAGAUUGAUUUAAAAAAUAUUCUCCUUUCGAGGAACCCAAAAUCAUCAUGCUUGGUGAUUCUCAUACUAUUCAAGUGCUUGAAACAGAAGAUGUCGAAUUGUGUUUUACCUAUGAAAGGGUAUUGACUUUGAAAGAUGUACUUUAUACUCCUUCCAUAAGAAAAAAAAAAUUGAUGUCUAAUUUUCUUCUUAAUAAAAAAGGUUUCAAACAAAUUAUUUAACUAUCAAUAUAUAAUUGUAAAAAGGCUAUUUUGUGGAAAAGGGGUAUGCUAGUGAUAAGAUGUUCAAGUUGAAUGUUGAAAUGAAUAAAGUUUUUACUUUUAUUUACAUACUCUCUUCUACUAAUUUUUGGUAUGCUCAUUUGUGUCAUAUUAAUGAUCAUUAUUUUGGAAUCAUGAUUAGUUUAAGAUUAAUCCCAAUGAUUAGAAAGAAUUUUGAAAAGUGUGAAGCUUGUAGUAAAGCCAAGAUCACUAAGAGACUACAUUUUCAAGUUGAAAGAAAAGCUGAUUUAUUAGAAUCAUAAGUUCACACCGAUAUUUGUGAACUUGGAGAAAUUUUAAUUCGUGGAGGAAAUAGAUACUCAUCACUUUCAUUGAUGAUUUUUCUAAGUUAACAUAUGUUUACUUUUUUUUUUUGAGAUAAUUAACAUAUGUUUACUUGAUGAAAAAUAAAAGUAAUGCUUUUGAAAAUUUUAAAACUUAUCCAUGAGGUUAAAAAUCAAUUUGAAAGAAAAAUAAAGAGAACUAGAAGUCACGAUAGAGGCCGUGAAUAUGAGUCAAAUGAGUUUAAUCCUUAUUCUCCUAUAUGAAAUGGUGUAGCGAAAAGGUCACAAGCCAAGUUUGAGAUAUUUAAGAGUUUGGAAAGUUACUACUUGUGUUUUUCUUGUUAUGCUUCAAAUAGUAGAGUCUAUAGAUUUUUUUAAUCUUGAAGAUAAUAUUAUAAUAGAAUGUGGUGAGACUAUUUUUCAUAAAAACAAAUUCCCUUUUGAUUCUAAAAAUAGUUGGAGGUCAGAGGAUUGAACAAAAUAUUUUGUCACUACCUUGUUCUACGUCUACUUUGUGACAUAAAAUAUUGAUGAUUUUGAGUUAAGAAGAAGUAAAAGAGGUAGAGUAGAAAAAUAUUUUUGUCCUGAUUUUUAUGUUUUUAAUGUUAGAGAUGAACCUCCUAUUUUACAAGAAGUUUUAUCUUUACAUGAUUCUAUUUAUUUAUUUUUUUGAAAAGAGGUUGUAAAUGAGGAAAUGAAAUCACUAAUUUCUAAUAAAACAUGGAAAUUAGUUGGUUUACAACCGGGUUGUAAAAUAAUUGAUUGCAAAUGGGUCUUACGAUUUUUUUUUGAAAUAGAAUGGUUCUAUUGAUAAAUAUAAGGCUAGACUAGUUGCUAAAUGUUUUAAGGAACUACAAGGCCUUUAAUUUUUUGAUACUUUUUCUUUGAUAAUUAGAAUUACAUCCAUUAAAUUUCUAAUUUUUAUGGAUGCAAUUUUUUAUUUGCAUAUUCAUCAAAUGGAUGUAAAAACUAUUAUUUUUUUUAAAAUAGAGGCCCAAAUGAGAAAAUUUAUAUGGAUCAACCGAGUGAUUUAACUUGUUAAAGUAGACCAAGAAAGCAAAAUGUGUAAACUUACAAGAACAUGUGAUGAAACUUUCUUUGACCAAUCAUAUUAUGUUGAGAAAUUUUGAAAAAAAUAUAACUUUCUUGAUUGCAAGCAUGUUGUAACUUCUUUUUAUUCUAGUGUUCAUUUAUUUUUUGUUCAAAGUAAAAAUGAUGUGAUAAAUCAAAAGGAAUAUGCUUGCUUAAUUUAAAGUUUGAAAUAUGUGAUUUAUUGUAUUAGGCAUAAUAUUGUAUAUACAGUAGGAGUACUUAGCAAGUUCACAAGAAAGCUAGAUAAUGAACAUUGACAUGCUAUAACAAGAGUUGUGAAAUAUUUAAUUGAGACAAAAACUUGUAAUUUGUUCUAUAAAAAGAUAAUGUUGUACUUGAAGGCUUUCUGAAGCAUAUUGAAAACUUUAUCACGUGAUUCCUCUUCUACCACUAGUUACAUUUUUACUUUGGGUGGUGGUGCUAUUUGUUGGAAAUCAAAAAAGAAAGCAAUAAUUGUUAACUCUACUAUAGAGGCUGAAGUAAUUAUUUUAGCUUGAGCUAGUGAGGAAGCAAAUUGGUUGAGAGAUUUAUUAAUUAUUUCAAAUACCUUCUUUUGAAAAUUAAUUCCUCGUAUUUUAACUUAUUGUUAUAACACUGCUGCAAUUAGUAGAGUUCAAAAUCGUUAUUACAACAAUAUAUCCAAACCUAUAAGGAGGAAACAUAGUAAUGUGAGAUCAUAUUUGGCAAGUGAUACCAUUAAUGUUUAUCAUGUCAAAUCUUGGGAAAAUCUUGCAGAUCAUCUUACUAAGGCUUUAAUAGGAGAAAAGGUCUAGAGCAUAUCGAGGGGGAUGAGAUUGAAGUCUAUAUAUCAUUGAGUCAUAUAUGAGGAAACCCAACCUAGGGACUAGAGUUCCUAUAACCAGGUACAAUGAGAAAAUUAAACGAAUCAUAUGCUGACUUGUUGUGAAAAAUGCACUAUUUCUAUUCCCCUCUAUGAUGUGAGUGCAUUGUUUUUUUGUAGUAAAUUAGGGAGGUUGAGUUUAAAAACUCUUAAUGAAAAAUAUAUAGCCCAUAUGGGUGGAGUUUUAAACUUACAGGAGCACUCUCGAAAGAUUUCAUCUAUCUGAGUAAGGAAGUAGGUUGUUUCCUAUAAGAAUUUGGCUAAUUCUCAAAAGCACUCAUAAAAUCACGAUAGCACAAGGCCGUAAUGUGCUGAUUUUUAAAGCUCAUGCCAACACCUUGAUUAUUAUGUGUAACUAGUCAUAUUUUAUUUUCCUUAAACAGUCAUAGUUUAAGUCUGACACCAUUAUGACUUAGGAGUAAAAAUUAUUGUUUUACUAAGUGAAGGUUCAAUGUAUAUUUUUUCCGCUGAGCCUACACCCUGGAUAUGGCCGACACUCGUAACGAUUGCUAGUCCCAAUCGAACCUUUGGCCUUAUUAACUAUGGUACAUAUGGCUUUAUAGAAUAUGCAGAAGCUUUAAUAGAUGAGAAUUUCAAAACAUUUAAAGAACAUAAAACCAUUAUCUGAAAAUACUUAAUAUAAAUAGUAAACGUUUAGCAAAAACAUCUGAGUAAGUAUUGUAACUAUCUUACUUCCUAUCGAUGAAGCCUCUACUAUCUAAAGAUAGGUGAUGGGAAAACAUGCACGACACCUCAAAGUACUACUAAAACUAAAUAAUAAGCUGGAGUCCUACAAAAGCAAGGAGGUCUCACAAAAAUCUGAUGAGAGGAUGUGGUAAUCUCAACGCAAUGCUUGUUGAUGAUCCUAAAUACCUGAAUCUGUAUCAUGAAAUGAUGCAAGUCGAAUGACAUCAGCACAUUAAAUGUAUGGUGUGUAAUAGGGCUGAAUAAAACAAAUAACUGAACUGAAAGAGAUUGAAAGUAACCUGAUUGAAAGUGUAGCUUGAACAUGAGGUAAAAUCAUUUAAGUUUUACAAUAUAAGACAUGCAAUAGAAACAACAUUAAAAUAAUAUAAUAUACUUUUUUGGGGAGUUCCUCUAACAAAAUAUUAUAACUAUGAGCCUAGUAAUGAUACAACGUCCUGCCCACAUUGCCAAAGUCAUCAUAUACCUUGCCGGGUAUAGGAUAACAACUAUAAUCUAUGGAUCCAUCCAAUAUGUCUUACAGAGAGGAAGUGAGGAGUCACCCGAAAUUCGAUACGAUCCUAUCUUAUACGUUGACUACGUAGUUUAUGAGGCUUUUAGUUAAAAUGAACUCUUACUCAAUUCGGUGCUAGAUACUAUCCCAGAAUAAUCAAUAUUAAUUAUGCUCAAUAGCCUUGUUUAGGAACUGGCCUUUAUUUCACUUUCCUUUACUGAAAUGAUUUUCAAAAAAUCAAUUAUGCUAUUUUUUCUCAAUUUCCAAAUAGAAUAUAUGAAACCAUUUAUGUCGUUUUAAAAUCCCAUUUCAAAUCAUGCAUUUAAAUGCUCAUGGACUCUCUUUCCAAGUCCGAAAUUAAUGUAUAAGAAAAACUCAUAUAGGAACCUUUUAAAAAUAUGACUUCAAUAAAUAGGGCUCAUGUAAUAAUGAAAUUAUGAACAACUGUUUAAGAAUCAAUAUUCAUAAGAGAAUCGAAAUCUAAAUGAUUAAGAAAUCGGAACUCAAGAAAAGAAAACACAAACCGAAUUUCGAUUUCAAGAGACUAUGUGUAGAACCCUAAACAUAAUAUUUUACUGAAUGGAUUUAGAUGUAGGGUGUGAGGAAAAACAUAGUCCAUCACUAUGAGUAGUCUUACAUACCUUAAUGACGAUUCUUGAAGAAAAAUCUUGACAGAUGAAGUGUGUAGAAGAAUCUUGAAUUGAAAACCUUAGGUAUCUUGAAGAGAAUCUUGAACUUGGAGCCUUUAGAUCUUGGAAAAUUGGAGAAAUCCCUUUCUUGGAGUUCUUGAUCUUUAGAAGAAGGAGAAUUAGGGAUGUUGAGAAUUUCUAUACGUAUAAUGAUAUUAGGUUACAAUAUGGACUUAGAAAAGUUAUUUCAGGGUAAAAGGUCAAGAAUACCCUUCUGGAAACAUAAGAAGACCAUAUAAAUCAAAGAGAAUGACAUUUUAAUGGAUCUCGUCUGCCAAAUUGGUGAUCUCGAGGUCCCCCAUUGAAAUAUUUGGCGAUUAGCCAAAUGGGCCUUUAGAUCGCCAAAAUAUCUAGAGACUCGAUGUUUUAAGGCUAUUUCAGCGAGCUAAUUUGGCGAUUCAUCAAAUCAUUCAGUGAGUUGCCAAAUGGGAUGGUGUCCUCGCCGAAUUUCUUAGCCCGCACAUAGUGGCAGAGCCAAGAAUUUCACAAAGGGUGUCCAAAAAUAACACAGUAAAAGCACUUUUCAAAAAGUAGAACUAGUGGGUUCAAACACACCAAGCACGUCCUCAUUCCAAGGAGGUGAAACUAGUGGGCUACAACUUGUUGUGUUAAAGGGUGUCCAAAAUAUGUUAUUUAAUCAUUUCGUGUAUCAUUUUACUUGUAUAUAAGAUAUUUUUUUCCGGUGAAGUGGACACCCUAACCACCAUGUGGCUACGCCAUUGCCUGCACAUAGUCCAAUAAAAUAACCUCCAAAGUCUGAUUGAUGCAAACUUGAUGGCGUUGGAAAAAGGACUAAUAAAACUUAUCAUGGGCCACCUCACUCUUUAUAUGUUGACAGUUUGAAGUUGACCUUUAUAUGAACUCAUGCGAGAACAUAGCCGAUAGAAAUGCUUUGAACUUGGCUUGGUGUUUGAGGUUCCUUAUGACCCUAGAUAACUCUCGAUACCCUUGACAAACUUGGCAAUGGACCUUACUACAUAUGAACAAGUAGUACAUCACCUAGUUCAAGCUCAUAUUCUUAUGAUGAACGAUUCAGCUUUUAAGAGUAGAGUUGCAAGGUUUUACAAAAUGAUUCGAGUCUUAGCUUAUAAGAAAUUUUCAGGGUGUCACAGCAGAGCACGCGUUCAUUAUGCAUAGUAGUCUUCCUUCAGUUGAUAAACUCUUAUUUAAUAUUAACAUGAGUACGAAAUUAUUGUUUUUCUUAUAGAAUUUUAAUAUUAUAAAAUGUUUUUUAGGGAUGACAGGGAUCAGAUUAGUGCAUCAUUCCUUGGCAGUUAGUGUUUGUAUCUCAUUUUUUGUGCAUUACUUUGAACAUUCAAUUGUACAGUAGUGUUUUCCGUUGAGUUGUGCAGCAAUUGCAUUUUAACGUUAGUGGCAUUUGGUUGUCCACAUUACUUCACUCUUUAUUCUUCCAUUAUACCUUUUAACUUAUGUAAUCUUUAGGCUAUUUAUCUUCUCGAUUUACUUCUCCAUUAUCUUUAUUCAUUGUAAGGAAGACUUCCUCACCUAUAAGUAGUGGUGGUUUUCCAUUGUUUUUUAUACAAGAAAAUAUAGAGUGCAUAAAAGUUAGUUAUAAAAUAGAGUUCUUAUUAAUUGAAGGGGAGUGUUCUUUUUGUGGACUUUUGGACUCAACUCUUUUCCAAAAUUUGUUAAGUUAUACUUUGUGAAUUAGCUAUUGUAAGAUCUUGGGCAUAUUUGUAUGUUUAAAAGCCAAGUGAACCCAUGUUUUAACUAAAUUUGAGAAUAAGUUUCGUUGUGUUUGUAGUUAUUAAGUCUUGUUUAUGUUAUUUUGGCUAACCAAAUUGUUUAGUGUUGUAGGUUGGAAAGCAUGUGCAUUGGAUAACCAAAUUGAGGAUGAAGUCAGAACAAGUGUGCAUGUCACAAGGAGAGCUGAAGAAGGAACUCAACUCCACUUUCUCUCCGUGUCACGAAUAAUUUGAGAAGAAAAAUAUGGCCACGAAAAUAAAUUGGAACCAAAGGCCUCCGAAAAGGCUCCCUGUCGCGGAGCUAUCGUGGAUCGGGAUAAAAUGCAAAAUAGGUGAGUCUUCCUUGACUUCGCUUCGCGGACCUGUAGACCAGAAUUUUGCUGCGUUUUCCAACCUAUAAAUAAAUUCAUCUUUUUAGGUUUAAUAACCAUUUGAUCUUUGAUAUCAUCGGAGUGUAUAUAUAUAUAUACACACACUCUGGUGGUAUCUAGAAAGAAAAAGUCACUUCAGUGAAAACACUACUAAGUUACUCCUUGAUACCAUCAAAGUAUAUAUACACUCUGGUGGUAUCAAAGAGCGAUUCAGUGAAAAUACUACUCAAUUACUCCUUGAUACUAGGGGUGGGCAUAAAUACCGAAAAACCGAACUGAACUGAUUCGGUUCUUCAGUUUCGGUUUGGUGUUGGUGUUAUUUUUUCAAAAGUUUGGUUCUUCGAUUCGGUGUUAGGGUCUCAGAACUUCGGUGCACCGAACUGAACUUUUAUAUAUAUAUAUAUAUAUAUAUGAGAAUUUUCUUAACUAAAAAUAAAGAGUCAACUAACAAUAAAAUCAUAUAUGAACAAAUCAAAGUAGCAAGAAAUGUACAAUUCAAAUAUUAAUUUCCAAGAGGAACCAAAACAUAUUUUUUAUCAAUCUACGUAAUGUAAAAGAAUCCGUCUUCGUCCUUGUUUUUCUCGAGAAUUAGUUGGAUGCACAAUGUUCUUGACAAAAAUAAAUAUAAUCUUUUAAGUUAGCACAAUAAGUGUUCCAUGGUGAGACACAAUAUUUCUUAACAUACUUUUAAAUUUUUAAGUAUCUUAUAUUUUGAUUUUGUCCUCAUUUUAUUUUUCAUUCACACUGAAGAACCGAUUUCAAAACACCGAACUAAACCGAACCGAAGUAGAAAGAUUCAAAACGAACCAAAAUAGUUUGGUUUGGUAUACGGUACACACUUUUCUAAAACCUAAAAUCGAAGAAUCGAAUCGAAGUUUGAUAAAACCGAACCGAAGAACCGAACAUCCACCCCUUGAUACCAUUAGGUUAUAUAUAUACCCUAGUGGUAUCAAGUAUAAAUAUACCCUAAUUGUAUCAAUUUUAGCUAAAUUUAUACUUGAUACCUUCAAAGUAUAUAUAUACUCUACCGGUAUCAAUGAAGAAAAAAUCACUUUAGUCAAACAUUUGAUAUCAUCGGCAACUAUAGCAUUAACAAGAGCAGUGCCCACUAAACGAGCCAUAUGUUUCAUCCUUUUCCACCAUUUUUCAUUAACCUCACUGGCCGCAGUUGCAGGGCUUGAACCAACUUCAAUUCUUCUGAGAUGAGGAGGAGGAGACACCACCGGAGACUGAAGAGGAGCAAGACCCUUGAAGGUUGGACUUGAACCAACUUCAAUUCUUCUAAGAUGAGGAGAAGGAGACGCCAUCAAAGAGUGAUGAGGAGCAAUACCCUAGACGACGGAAGAAAUCGGUGCCGUCAGUUUCAACGACGACCGAAGCUCUCUCAGUUUCUACUAUAGUAAUAAAUAAUUAUUAGGAUUGGGCUCUAUAGCGGAAUUGGGGGUUUGAUUGGACCACUAUAGAACAAUUGAGGAUCUGAUUGGGUCGUUAUAUAACCUUUAGCUAAAAAAUUUUUACUAGUGAGACCUAAAAUCUACUUGGCGAAGAAUGAGAGACCUCACACAAGUAUUGUAUAUGUGUGUCUCUCACACCAUAAAAUAUUUUAAACAAUUUUUAUAAGUAACUUUAAAUAACUAAUAAAAUAAGAAAGUUGAUAUUUGGGGUUGGGGUUUUAUAACAGAAUGGGGGUUUUAGAAGGAAAAGCAAGUCGAAAUUUGGGGUUAGGAUUUUAGAACAGGGGUUUUAGCACAUAAAAAGGUUUUAUAAGGAGAGAUAGGGGCUUCUUCUUCUUUUUGUUUAUCUAUGUUAGUAAUAAAAGAGCGAUUAAAAACUUAAAAGAAUAA